ACGAGCAUCCCUAGUGCCUAAGAGAAUCCAACCAUCAUGCUGUGAAAAGCCCAACGUAACCACAUGGAGAGGCCACAUGGAAAGGAACUGAAGCUGUGGUCAACAGCAGCAGUUGAGUUCCCAGUCAACAGCCAGCUCCAACUUUCUAGUCAUGUGAGUGAGCCAUCUUGGAAGUGCAUCUUGCAACCUCAGUCAAGCCAUGUUAGCUGGCAUCAUGAAGAGCAAACAUGAACCAUCCUUGCUGAGCCCUGCCCAAACUGCAGAAUUCUGAGCAAAUAAAUGUUGUUCUUUU
rnacentral:lncRNA from 10 species